CAUUCUUAGUCCUGCAUUCAU
rnacentral:siRNA from 1 species